AAGAAAUUCUUGAUCCUCCUCGGGUGCAGACAGCGUGGUGAUGGUGUGGGAGGCCAACGACUCAUACAGUACAUUGCCUGGACCCUGGCUUCAGGCAAAGAAGAAGCGAGGUAACCCAAGGCAAGUUUAUUUAUAUCACUCGUUUAUGCACAGAAGUGCAAGACUUAACCACCAUGAAAACAUUUUAGAAGGGCAUUAUCAUUAAAGCGGAGAUAGAAUAGAAACAGAAAUAAACAUGAAGUAUAGUUAAAUUUAAUUACAUAGUUAUAGUGCAUUAUGUGGACCAACAUCCCACAGGCCACUAUCAACAACCUAAUCAACUAUAUGCAAUGGAGAUAUGUUGCACUGCGGAAGGCAAAUGGUGGUCACACCAGAUACUGACUUUUUCUUACCCCCCGGACUCCCCCAAUACAGUAAAACUGCACCUUUUACAGUGGCCUUUAUUGUGGCCAGUCUAAAUGUCCUUUCACACUGGGAACGUGUGGUAUUCAGGCAUUUAUUUUUUCGUAUCAAGGUCAAUUUUUCUGAAGUUUUGCAUACUGUGUGUCCACUUCUGACCAAUCAGAUUUCAUGUUGUUACGACGUCAGAUUCACCAGUAUAUCCAACAUGGCUGACCAGCUAAUUAUUGAGGUGUCGGAGAACAGAGUGCUUUUUGAUAAAAGACACAAACAUUAAAAAGAUAAUGACCUGAAGGACAACUUGUUUAGAGUCAUAGCGUCGGAUUUCUGAUAUGACGAUGGUUUGUGUGCUUUAACAGUUUGCUAAACGUCUUUGUUUUAACUUUCAUCUGUGCUAGGUAACUUUAGCUUGUAAGCUAACCUGUUCAGAUACAACAUACCAUAUGUAUUUUCACUGUCUCAAACUCAAUCGCAUUGCUGUCACAGCACCAUUAGGUCUCGGUUGUUACCUUACGUUUACGGAUUAUAGAUUCAUGUGCUUAUCUGGUACAGGCCCCGAUUCAGUACAUGCUAUUGUAACAGACAGCCAUCUCAACACUAGUGUCUAAUCAGAACUGAAAAACAGUCAGUCUGGUGUUGUGUCAGUCUUCCAGCUUCCACCUGGGACGCGCCUUUUUACCCCCCGGAAGGUCGCAAAAUCGCAUCGGGCUUGAUGUGUAUAGUCAGGCGCGUCGAAAUUCGCUUCCGAAUAUUUCGCGUCGUAGAUUUGCAUCAGUCCCGGUGUGUAAGGACCUUAAGGCACACCUGUGCAAUAAUCAUGCUGUUUAAUCAGCAUCUUGAUAUUCCACACCUGUGAAGUGAAUGGAUUAUGUCAGCAGAGAAGAAAUGUACACUAACACAGAUUUAGACAAAUUUGUCAACAAUAUUUGAGAGAAAUAGGUCUAUUGUGAACAUAGAAAAAGUCUUAGAUCUUUGAGUUCAGCUCAUAAAAAAAUGUUCAGUGUAAAUCAGUCAUGCAUGCAUACAUAACAACAACACUACGUAAGAUAAGAGAUAAUAUAUACAUUAUUGAUCUGCUUAGGGGUAACAAAUUCUGUUGUUACAGCAGCUCAAAAAGGACAGCAGAAAUAUAACUAUAAGGUAACCUAAACUGAUCCCCUUGAGUAUUAUCAUCUCUGCUGCUGGAAACCUUCCUCUCGGUCCUGGGUUUGGCCAGGCCUCACUUGUCCCUUCCUGCUCACCCUCCACAGCGUGCCCUCACUCGGCCUCCACAGUUGCUCUGUUUGUUCAUAAAGGAUGAUGGCAUGAUCCUUUGAACUAAGGAUUUAGGCGACUUAUCAGGGAUGGCCAGCAUUAUCAAAAGAUGAUUUAGGACCAAAACUCAUUUUCGUCAAAAAAUGACUCGGGCCAUUAUUUUAAUGGGGUGAUGGCAUGUAAGCUUAAUGCCUGACAAAAGUGAUGUACAUGAUAAACAUAUCUGCUGAACAUUAGUUUGUUUGCUGUAGGCUUAGUUUUUCGCAUCUACAGCAAACAGAAGUUAUAAGAUUUUACCAAUAUUUAUCCCAUGAAAAAUGACUUGACACUGCAGACACAUCAUGUACUUUCUUUACCUUCAAACACGAUGAAUCCAACUUACCUUGUAAACCUAUGAUGAGGAUAACAAACUUGGUUCAUGCACAGUAGCACCUCUGAAAUCAGGGUUCAGCUGCAGCCUUUGUGAAUGAUGAAGCAAACACAGGCAAAGACACACACUGGCUGUUAGGAGAGAAAACAGCCAGUGAGGCUACCAGAGUGGCUGGAGCAUCAUUACUGCAACAAGUGAGUGGAGAGCUGGGGUAGAUAAUCUGCAGCUGUGAGUGAUCAACAGCAGGUGAGAGUGAUCAGCAGCAAUCACAGAGCUGGGAGCUGGGAACCAGGAGCGCCACACCUAUCCUGCACACACGCACGCACACACACACACUCAGAUAGCUGCAAAAGAGAGUACAAACAGAAAAAUACAGGAAAACAUGUGAAAAAGUAUGGCUGUGGCUCAGUCAGUGGCAUUGUCAUGGUGUUUUGCUCUCUGAGGAGUCACUUCAUUAGUUUAAGUCAUAUCCAUAAAAACAUACAGGGCCCAGUUACCCAUACAGGGCUUAAAUAAAACCAGGACUAGACUAAUCUGGUUUAACUAAAUCCACACUAAUCAAAUUGCUUGGAGUUUUACUAGAGUCACAGCAGAGUCACAGGGCACUCCUAUCAUCUCGAUCGUUAAAUUUAAGAUAUUAAUCUGCGUUGUUUUACAUCAGACUUUUCCUAGUCUUGGGUUUGCGAUAAUAUCAAAUGUGUCAGAUAUUAUCCCAAGUUGCAGUGACGUAACACAACCAGCAACCAACAGAUGAGCUCUGACAAAAGUGGAAAAGGACACCUGACAGUCAAAAAAAGAUAAAAAUGUAUGAAGAAUUGCUGGCAAUAAAACGUCAAGUGGACAGACCAAAAAGAGGAGUGUGUGGUGGAGCUGUGGGCACAUCAGCCUGGUCUAUUUGACAUCAACUGCAGGGUUUCCCCUACAUGUAAUGGCGCACGGCUAAAUUAAAGCCACCACACCUCAAAAAUAAAGUUUUAUAUGUUUAUAAAGUAUAUGUGCCAGACACAAGCUGCACUGCAGGGCGUGCAUGUGUGCCAAGUAUUAGUAUUAGUGAGUUUCGAGUUGUUUUAUGCGAACACACAGCUGGUAGACACUUUAUAUAGUUUUUUUUUUUUUUUAUACUUUUUAAGAACUGAUACCUCAGAAAAAAAAGUCUGCAUUUGGAAAGUUUUUACAGCAACCCAACAGUGCUGCAAAUAUGUUGCAAGAAGUGAAAAUACUUCAAGGCCAAACAAGAGAGCAAUUGAUUAAUCAAACCUGUUAACUCGAGCUACUUAAAAUAAGUACUCCAAACUUCUUUCCAAAAAAUAAAAAUAAAAUAGAAUAAAAUUCAGACGGUUUGGUGAACUGAACAAGUGCCUACCCAUCCCCACAUGGAUUCUAAGUUAAAAAAAAAAAAAAAUCUUUAUUACUCAUGAGAAAAUGUAAGGACUAGUUUUGUUCACUUUAUUAGCCGUCUCACUUUUACAGAGGAGGAUUUUGUUGUGCAGAAAAAGAAAAGGGAGGGCCAAUAUAAGGGUUUAUCAUUCCUGUCAUUUUAGACCCAUAAUCUCUUUUGAUUUUAGAAGUUAAAGGUACAGUUUGUAUUUUUUAGCAGCCUUUAGAAAUACAGAGAUGUAGACAUGGAAUAUAUCAUUUGUUGGUAUGUUUAUGAAUUAGUGUAUAAUCACCUGAAUAUAAAAAACAACAUUUGUUUUUUGGUGACUUAGAAUAAGCCUUUUAGGAGUAGGUCACCCUCUGUAUUGCAUCCCAAGUUUCUACUGUGUCACAGAAAGGACAAACUAGUACCAUUUGCAUUUUUGUAUUUAGCAAGCAGACACAUAAAGUGCAUUGACUGUAAGUUAUGUGCAUAUAUAUUAGCAUUAGUAGAUGUUUCAGAUGGGGAAAUGAGGGAUCAUACUCGUCCAUUACAGGAGUUUAUUGUCCUCAGAGGCCAGCACCUCUUUACCAACAGGAGUGAGUUUAACUAUGGUGACUACAAGUAUUGUAGUCAGCAUUCAAACUUUUAGUGGUUUAUAAAGUUAAACUUUUGUUGUAUCUCUUUACAGAUUUGUACAUUAAACUUAAAAAGAAAAUCAUAAAAAUUUGUUAAGGUUCCUAUUUCUGCUCUUACUCUCAGUCUCACAAAUCUCACAAAAUGAGGCAGACAGGGAAUUAAAAUGCUUAAUAGGAAGGGUGAAGUGACACUUGUUGCUUUCAUUCUCAUGUAGUUUUCUCUCAUUAUCAGAUGUCAUUAAAUCACUCAGGGUGAUUAACUCUUGAUUUGUGUUUCUUGUUUUUCUCUUUGAUAUUUCUUUUUCCUUUUAUGGUGCUCUGGAGUAUUUUUAACACGUUUGAGAUGUCCUUUAGCGGUGGCCUCUCAGUAGGAACCACAUUAGAUUUGCUGCAGCUCUUGCUCUCAUCUGAUUAACAGUAACCUCUGCACUGAAGCAGCAAAAUAAUAUCGCUCUUUCUCUCAGAGCAGAUUAAGUGUGAUCUUUAUUCAAACAGUUAAAUGUAGUUUGACCUUGCUCAGCUUGGAGUCAAGUAAGAUUACUUUCUUAAGUCAUUUUUGUUUCUUUUUACACAGCUACCAAACCUUUUGAGCACAUGUACUUAGUGUGUACUCAUUCAGCCUUCAUUUCAAGAGGCUGUCGCCUCCUAACAGGAGGGAUAAAAAGAGCAGAUUUCCAGCCUUGGAUGCAGCUAGUGAUGUGUAUGUGCAAAUAACACUCAGAGCACUACAUUUGAUUAACAUUUAUUCAUAUUAUGUGAAUAAAUCUCUUUAAUAAAAAAAAUUUAACUAAGGUUUUGCCUGAACUCCUAUUGAACAAUCACUGUAUGUAUAUAGUCUCACAAAUUAAAUAUGACUGGUUCAUUAUUAUUUGAAGCCCACUGUCUCUGUUAGGGAAACUUCAACACUUCAAACUCUACCAAUUAAACAUAUGUUCAUCUUUAUACUAAAUAGGAUACUUAAAUACUUUUGUUUUAAAACAAUGUCCUAUGCACAUGUCAGUUUAGCCUGUAAAGUCUAUGCAGUUUAUGGAGGCUGUAUUAUUUCAAAGAGUCCUCUCCCAGAAUUGGGGACAGAGCUGAUAUGUGCUAGUUUCUAAGUUGUUUGUUAUAAGUUAAUGUGUUAGGUUGUCUGCUUGUUAAUCUACUUAUGGAGCCAGCAAUACCUAGAGAGUACAUUCAGCCAGGACCACCUCCAUCAAAAAAAAGGACAGUUUGCAUAAAAUAGAUACAAACCCCAUUUUCAGUAAAGUUGGGACUUAGUGUAAAAUGUGAAUAAAAACAGAAAACAAAGAUUUCCAAAUCCUUAUCCACCUACAUUCAAGUGCAGCCUUUAAGUCACUAAGUCAUACCAAGUGUCAAACUUAGUGGGUGUAGUUACUAAACCCCAAAUAUAAGAUGAUUGUUCAGUUUAAUUCAUACGAUUCAGAUAAAUUUUAAAAUCAGUUAAAAAAAGGAUUUGAUAUGUUUAAUUUCAUAUAUUUCACAGUGUUUCAUUUGAGUGAGUUAAAAAAUGAGUGAGAGUUUAAUACCAGUACCUCCAUCUACUGGCCGAUUUUGGUACAGCGGUAAGGCUUUGUCAAUGUUGAAUAAAACCUUUAUCCAGGAAGUGACAGUUAACAAACAAACAAAGAACCUCAGAGAAGCACAUUUGCCAGCUUCUAGCUACAACUGGCCACUUGGGCAUACAUCUUCAACGAGUCGCAUUGUCGGUAAGUCUUUACACGUGAAUUAAUGGUUAUAUGCCUUCAGUGGCAUAAUAUUACAUUGUGUACCUAUUUGUGUAAUUGUGUGUCUCACAUGUAUUUAGCCUACUUUGAGUGAGCUAUUUUAGUUAGCCAUGCGAGGCUUUGGAUGGUUCACAGAUGUGGAAUUGUUUAUUUUAUUGUUUAUGCAUCUCCAUAAAUGCAAUAUUCAUGAUUAUGUUACUUGUUUUUCUCUUUUAGUGUGACACUUUACUUCAUCAAUAAAGUAAAGAGUUUAAGAGUUUAGCUGCCUGUCAACACAUGCACACUGCACAUUGGAGACAGAACAACGAUCACAGCUUUUCCAACUGUAUUUCAAGAACAAACACCCUGCCUCAUAUUCUGGUCAGUCUGGUAAUACUGAUAAAGAUAUCAAAAUUACACGGAAGAUCAUAUUACCUACUAUCCUUUAGAGUGCUAAUCAAAUUAAGUAAAUUUAUAAGUUCCAAUAUCUAAAGCGUCAAACACUAAUUUGGGCUCGGGCAGUUUGUUGUAGAAAACAGAAAUCCCGGUCUUUAAGAAUCAGCUUGUUUAUCUCAUGGAUAGAGAUGGGCCUAUAACCAAAGCACCAUGUUGCAAAUGAAAGCUCAGGGUUAAACAGUGACUUCCUCUUAUAAACAUGUAAUUGUAUCGACUGGUGCAGAGGAAGCCACCGUGGACUGGAAAUUGCAUUUUUCUGCAUGAGAGGAACGCCUGGUGAGAUGGAUGGUCUGCUGCACCAGAAUUUGUUCUUCUUUGUGUAGGUAGGAAAUGACAAACUGCGAGUGAGUCUAGUUAUCCUGGGCAAGUGUGUUUAGUCUCUGAAAGAUGCAUAAAAGCAGUGGGAGGCAGAUUUAAUCUCCAAAUAUAUACUGUGUCUUCCUAUUCUGAGGUGCUUUAUGGGUGGAAAAUAAGACAGGAAUUAAUGCUCCUGGGAGCCGACUGUGAUUAAUAUCUCCUCGGAGCUAUGCUUAAAAUGGGUAAACUUUGGGAUUUGCAUUGUAGAUCAAGACCCUUCUCUAAAUAGUGGAUUUUUGUCUCCAUUGAUCUUUCUGGUAAUGAACCUUCACAGUUCAUUACCAGCCAAAUCAAAUUCAAAAAACAUCCAUCUCUGCUGAGACUCAGUGACACAACCGAAGCAUGCUCCACGAUAAUGAAACCAACUCUCAGUGUGCUUCCUCAACACAUUCACAGUGUGCACAGAGGAUUACGCCUGCUGAUGUACAAAGUGUCUUUUUGCAAUUUAAAAAAAAUUAUUUGUCUUCAUUUCUGGUGUCUGCCGCUUCUACUGGUUUCGUGGCAGUGAUGUUAAAGAAGAAAGAGGCAAAGGGAUGACGCCACAUGAAAUCUAGAUUAAUGACAGGGAUCAGGCAGAAGUUUUAGCAGUGGCAGGUCACAUCAAUCACCUCCUGUGAUUGAUGCGAGAUUAACGACGGUCUAGGAAAACAUCUUGAUAAUGAACUUUAUAAAGAUGGAUGAUGUCAAAGAUUCUAAUGCAAAAGAAAAACAGGACUUAGAUGAUGUUUCUUUGCACAGACAUUGAAGCUGAGCAAAACGAGGGGGAAUUGUGUGCAAAGGUGGUAAGUGGCACGACUUCACUCAGGCUUGACAUGUUUUCCUUCAGUUUCUCAAAAGUCAUGUACUACAUUCACUUCCUAACCUGACAUAGGGGUCCUGCUGUAGAUGUCACAGCCUCUGAACAGCUACAAUACAGAGCCAGUGGAAAAAAAAUUAGCACACUUUGGUUCACACUGCUUUCACACCACAAGCAUUAAUACUGACAGAAGGGGGAAACUAGUUUCAAGUGCCAGUCUUAUAUGAUUUACACUUUGUGGAAAGCAGUGGUGUAGAAAAAGGAUAAGAGUUAAUGUUUCUUAGAACCCAGAUUAGGGGGAUUUAUGUGGAUCAAGUAUUAAAGGCAAUGCAUCCAUACUAUUCAGCUUCUGACUCAAAGCCCUGAGCCAGUUUCAGUUUGAUUGGGAUGUAUUCAUGACAAAGGAAAAUCAAAUCCUAACCGAAUUAUCCAGGUAUGUAAGUCUGACAAUGAAAAGUUCAGUGCGGUGUUAUUUUAGAUGGACUAAUGUGUUUACAUGUUUUUGAAAAGUCCAGUUUUAGUCAGGCAAUAAGUCACAUUUUAUUGAACUGCUGGAUUCUGUUGAUGCAAAACUUGUCACUGAACUGGAACAGGCCAUCAACUGCUGCAGACAGGGUCAGCUCUACCAAAUCAUCUAAUAAACUCCAACCAAAGCACUGCUCUUAGUGUAAGUGCACACUCCCUUCAGAAACUCCUCAAUACUUUGUCAUCAGAAAGAGUUUUUGCACAGUCCUCGGACAUGACAGACAAGUGUGUUUGUGCCUGAAGCACAAUGAUCCUCUAAUUGGGUGUAUGUUUGAGUCAUGGAUACAUUGAGAAAAUGUGUUAUUUAUAAGGCAUAGCGGUAGUUCAUGCAGGUCACGGAGUCAAGCUAAAGGCUACAGUCAGCUGAUCUUAAGCCAGCCCUCAGUCAGCUGACAGCUCAGGUAAUCACCUUUUUCACAUCCUAUUGGCUAAUGUCAAAAUGGCGCCCUAUUUAAACUGCCUCUCCUGCCUACCCUGCCUGCUGCAACAACUCUGCAACCCACCUCCACCCCAACUCCUCCUGUUUAUGUUGUGUCUGAUCUUACCAGUGUCAUAUGUAUUGUCACUGAUGCUUGCUCUGUUCUGUGCGGGGAUUUUUAUUUAUUUAUUUUAAUCGAAUUUAUUUGCUGCUUCUCUGCCUGGCUCCUCAUGUAUGCACAUGAAAGGGAGGGGAGGAGCUCAGGGAACAGGGCAGGGAACCCUCAGAGCAGAGCCAUACCGCCAAAGUAAAAAUGUUUGCUUGUAAUAAAUAACUAAUUUUGAUUAAAGUGAUCCUGACUGAACUGUGUUUGUGAUAGUUUGAGUCACAGCUGAUACACCUCAUCCUAUUCGUCCGAGUCGCGUCAGAGUCACCAAAAAAAAAAAUCUGACUUGAAUUCUCUUCCUCUGAGUUGAGUCCAGGUUCAGUUGAAUGCAUACUUUAAGUUGCUUUAACUUAGUUAAAACAUAUCACAUCUGACUUAACCAAACAUCGUGGAGCCAUUGUUUAAGUAACUUAAGAGGCUAAUGUAGUUAUUAUUUAGCAGCUAGCGUAUGACAACUUAAUCAGCAGAGUAACAUUAGCUUGACGAUCUACUCACUUCUCAGUGCAUCCUUGACAGAUGUCUGUGAAAGUUCAAUGUUGUCCCCAUCUUCCCUUCCAUGGUUCUUUUACACAAUGAACGCAUUGCUCUACAUUUGCCGGAAAAAAAUAUCUUUGAAGCAAACUGCGCAACCCAUGGCGCAUCCUUCGACAUCUUGCUGUGCACUAUUGCUGAAUGAGACGGCACGUGAACAUGCAUGCAGGUAAACAAACACACAUGCUAGCCAUAGGCACAAGACUGAUCUGUUAUUUGGACCUUAUACCAGAAGAGAAAAUAAAAAAAUCACAAAGCAGUCAUUGAUAAAUAAGCCCAGUCCUCCUCUGAGUCCCAAUGCAGCCAGCACUCAAGUCCGAGUCGAGUCCGAGCCCUGGACUCGAGUACUACAACAGUGCCACAGGGGUAGCUGACAGUGUUGUGGUAAUAGAUGAUGCUAGAAAGAGAUACACAUCUCAUAGAAAUUGCGCCUCAGUCAAUGCAGCAGCAGUUGUGAAAUACUCUUAAGUGACUUUAACAAUUCUUAGUCCAGGAAACAGCUGUGACAACCUUACCCAGAAGUACUUUUGAAGAAGAAUAGAUACAAAACAUAAAGUUACACAAAACGCAUUGGGACAGACAAAUCAGAACAACACAUCAACCCAAAGCAUGACAGUAUGUUAUUAAUGAUUUCAGUUAUUCAGAGUUUAGUCUGACUGCAAACAACUCUAAAGGGAAUAAAAGUAAUCAGAGAAAGUCUCCCUACAUCUGUCAGCAGUCUAACCAAUUCCAUGUCUCCUCUGAUUGUGUUUGGUCCAACCGUUUCCCAAAGCGACUAAAGGGUCACUGUGUACAAAGUAAAUUUCUUAUUCUAAUUUACAGCCAGCCUGACAAUGGAAUUGCUUUUCUGCAUUUCCUCACGACUAAAACUAGAGCCGGUUUUUCAAUUUGCACUUACGCUUUCUCUUUCUGCCCACACAUGAACGUUGAGCCCCCACCACUAACCCAGUUGUUAGCUUCCAUUUAUUUCUCUGCUUUUCCUAAUAACGACUUCCUGUAACUUACUUUUCUUUUUUUGACUCUGUCUUCAAUCCUAAAUGUGUUCCUAGUCUCAAUCUGCAUAACCCAUUCUGCAAAUGAGGUGCAACACCACAGCAUUUAUUAUUUCAGCCUGAGCUGGAUCAUAGCUUUAACUAACCUGCAGAGCCGUGGUAAAUCAUCCACAUAUCUCCCUCUCUGACUGACCACGGCUCCUUACUAAUGGCCAGUCAUUCCUGCAGACUCUUCCUCAUUUUAAUCACCCUAUUUCAAGGUGUUGUAUUAUUUUGUUCUGUCAAGACUCCCACCACGUUAUUAUUCAUGAUAAUGAGAAUGUUCCUCUUGCUGCACAGAUACAGCCACUUGUUAACUAUGGCAUGCUUCAUUUUCUUUCAGGAUGAUUUUCCGUUUCGCAAUUAAAUGUGAUAGCUUUGCAACCCUCAUACUUAAGGGUGUUUUCCUUUUACUUUAACGCACACAAAUCAAAUUUCUCAGAGAUAAGAGAGAAAGGAGUGCCUUAAGCUUUAUCCCAUGCAAUUAAGAUAAUAUGAACAGUUCCCACAAAUCCCACAAAGAAUAUACAUCAUGUUUAAAGGAAAUAAAUAAGUCCUGGGAUCAGCUGAUUUAUAGCACAGAGCUCUGCUUUAAGUCUGUAACAGCCCCCUUCUGUGUUAAUCUUGUUGGAUUUCACCUCUGCUUCUGACAUGGUAAACCAUUCCAUCCUCCAUCUUGAACAUCACGUUAGUGUCCUUGGUAGUGCUCUCUAGCAUCCUUGUUUAUUGAGAUCAUUUUCUGUCUAACGUGGUGGCAACUCCUCUGCAUCUGCAUCUAUCACUUUUGGAGUUCCCCAGGGCUCCAUAUUGGGGCUUGUAUUGUUUGCUCUGUAUAUGGUCCCUUUAGAUCUCAUUUUCAUUUCCAUACCAUUAUGCAGAUGACACUCUGAUAUACCUCUUAUGAAACCCCUGUGGCCGCAUCAAAACCUCAGGUCAGUCUCUGGAGUGCCUCAAACAGUUAGUGGAAAACAACCCCCUAGAACUUAAUGGCAGUGAAAGUGAGCUGAUUUUGCUCGGUCCCCCUAAAGCCUCACGGAAAAAUAGUUCAUUACCAAAUGUCCUUGGCACCUCAUGUCUUUGAUCCUAUGUUGAAACAAUUGGACUAACUGGACUUAUUACUCCUGUUGUUGAAAUCUUACGUCACCAAUGGCACAUAACCAAGUUCAAAGUGUUCGCUCUGCUUUCCUAUUUUCUUUCCCAACAGGACUUCUGUAAUGCUCUCUAUCAGGGCAUCAGCCACUCCUCCUGGGUAAUGUUUGCAGAUAGUUCAGAAUACUGCAGCAACACAGUAAACUAAAACCAUGAAGAGAGAGCAUCUCCUCUGCUUAUGUGAAACUACACUGGCUUCCACUAUUUCGUUGGAGGUUCUUUUGUUUGCUUUGGCCUCACCCCGAGUGCA